rnacentral:lncRNA from 1 species
AUAGAGGGUCUUCCGGAGUUUGCAGAAGAAUACUUCAGAAGAGGACUUAUGCAUUCAGGAGAUGUACUCUCAGAGGGGAAUCUGUAGCUAAAGAACACACCUGCACCGUGCAUCCCAGACUCAUUCAAGACUCUUUUCAUUGAUGGAAGAAUUGAAUGUGGCCCUCACGUCCUGGUCAAAGCCCGUGACUCUGGAACUUUCAGGAGAGAAACAUCACAGAAGCAGCAAAUGGGAGUAUGUUUUCACACGUGGUUACACAUUGGGUUUUUGUACCGAUGAAUCCCCGUGGGAGAAGUUUGAAUUAAAGAGUUGCAGGUAUGUGUGGCUGGCAGCUGCUCUCUUUGGAUAGAAGGGAGAGGGAGGAUGAGGGUGACCUUCAAUAUGCAGAGGGCCAAGAAAUAUCAGAAUGAGGACACCUGGGUUGGCACAUGAGUUUUGUCAGGUUUUUUUUAAAGUCUGAGAACGGCCAAGUUCCAUCUCACUUAUUUCCAGAUACAGUUGCCCUACAAUAUUCUAGUUUCUCAGGAACAUCCUGCAAGAGAUGAGUAUGAGUCUUGUGUGACUGGCGCCUUUGCUUACCACUUUCAGUAAAAGUGGCGCAAGAUACACGGGUCUGUGGUGGUGUGAGCACCUCUCUGCUGGUGGGGGCAAUCCAGCUGGACAUGCAGUGUAUUAAUUGUGCACUUGUGCUUCUAGCUACAGUUACUGCACCAUCCUUGAGCUUUGAGGACCCCUUCUUGCUUGGAGCAAGCUGAGCUUUCCAGUCAACAGAGGCACUGUCUGCAUAUAUUCAUUCUUCAGGUCUCAACAGCCCCUCUGGAGUUAGUGCCAGGAAUAUUUUCCUGUUACAAGUAGGAACAAGAGAUAUUUUCUGGGGACAUGGUUGUAGAGCUGCAGAUAGCACUUGGGGUACAUUAUUCUGAAUCUGUCAGUCAGCUUUUUAUGCAACAAAUCAGAUGUUAUAGACAUUGAGGUACCUGCCUCCAUUCACUGGUCAAGGCCUUGCAGACCACAAACUGUUAUAUUCUCACCUUAAAACAAGAGAAAAAAAAUUGUAUUGAGAAUGCAUGAGUGGACAUUCCACUAGCAGAAAAACAGAUUACCUCUCCACCAAGCAGACUCCGAUCCCCAGGACUCUGAAAGCAACCUAGAAUGACAUUUUUUUUUGUUUCUGAUAGCUGGGAAUUUGAGAGGGCUGAAUGACUGAGGAGGGAGCAAUGGGUAAAGUUAUCUCCCUUUUUUCUUAUUCUUUUUUUCUUAUAUGAGCAUCACACAGCAGGCUGCUGAAACAGGCUUCUUCAAAGUCAUUAUAGCAAAUGCAGAUUACGUAUCUCACACAGCAGGCAGCU